rnacentral:rRNA from 1 species
CGCCUUAUACAUGCAAGUCGAACGAAGUAGCAAUACUUAGUGGCAGACGGGUGAGUAACAUGUAGGUAUCUUCCCUUUGGUGAGGAAUAACACGAGGAAACUUGUGCUAAUACCUCAUAAGUCUUUACGGAGAAAGCUUUAUGCGCCAAAGGAUGAGCCUGCACUUGAUUAGUUUGUUGGUGGGGUAAUGGCCUACCAAGACUUUGAUCUAUAGCUGAUCUGAGAGGAUGAUCAGCCACAUUGGGACUGAGACACGGCCCAAACUCCUACGGGAGGCAGCAGUAGGGAAUAUUGCACAAUGGAGGAAACUCUGAUGCAGCGAUGCCGCGUGAGUGAAGAAGGCCUUUGGGUUGUAAAGCUCUUUCGUCGGGGAAGAAAAUGACUGUACCCGAAUAAGAAGGUCCGGCUAACUUCGUGCCAGCAGCCGCGGUAAUACGAAGGGACCUAGCGUAGUUCGGAAUUACUGGGCUUAAAGAGUUCGUAGGUGGUUAAAAAAGUUGGUGGUGAAAUCCCAGAGCUUAACUCUGGAACUGCCAUCAAAACUUUUUAGCUAGAGUAUGAUAGAGGAAAGCAGAAUUUCUAGUGUAGAGGUGAAAUUCGUAGAUAUUAGAAAGAAUACCAAUUGCGAAGGCAGCUUUCUGGAUCAUUACUGACGCUGAGGAACGAAAGCAUGGGUAGCGAAGAGGAUUAGAUACCCUCGUAGUCCAUGCCGUAAACGAUGUGUGUUAGACGUUGGAAAUUUAUUUUCAGUGUCGCAGCGAAAGCAUUAAACACACCGCCUGGGGAGUACGAC